GGCCAUCUUGUCUCCCCUUCGCCAGGUGCGGUGGCGUGCCUCCUGGCAGCCUCGCAGCUGCUGCGAUCUUUUGGGCUGCAGUGGCUCCGAUUUCGCAGCUUCCUCUGCUGCCGCCCUCGUGCUGCCGACAGCCUGUGGACCGGCGUGCUCCUGCCACGGAUGUGGAUCCGGAUCAUCCCUGCCUGUAGAAAACAAGGUCAAACCUGUCCCCGUUCAGAACACCCUGCACAGCACUGUCAAUCCAGGGCACUAAAACCUUCUGUCCGAGGAAGUAUGCGGUGACUCAGUCGCUUGAAAAAGAACUUGGCAGAGACACUUCAUCAGGCCCAAAAGGCCAGGACUUUAUACGUGACUCAACGAACAUGACAAUCUUGUCUGACUGCUGACAGGACACGACCUUCUGGUUGAUAUAUUGGACUCUGUUGGCUAUGAAAAUAUUUCAGAGUGCUGAAGAGUAUGUCAGUAGGCUGAAUUCUGACCCACCUGAUCAGAGUGAAUGGUUUUCCUUACCUAAUGGGUAUAAGGUACAAUGUGCCGGACAAAGAGUAGUCUUGUUCAUCUUGAAUAUGAUUAUUUUUGGGUCUGUGGAGAGAGUGCCUUACCAGCAUACCUGCUUCAGUCCUCAUCCUGCAAAUGAGUAUGGCAAGAUUUCUUGGCAGGAUGGUGAAGCUGUUGGAUUUUACACCUUCACAUGAAAAGGCAGUCUGACUGACAGCUGUGUAAGUCGUUGUUAUCAGCUCCUCAUUCUUGACACCUUGUUUGUCCGAAAGAACUGGAGGAGAAAAGACUGGCCUUGGAGAUGCUGCAGAACUUUCGGCAAGGAGGAUAGUGGUGGGAAUCUGGUCUGCAAUCUCUACAGCCUUGUACCAAGUUUUCCUCCUGUUGGAUUACCACCUUAUCAUGGUCAGGGGGUUUGCGUGCCUCAGUGACCCUAAGAGCUACACCAGCAGAAGCUUAACCUUCAGAUCAGCUGAAGGAAAUCCUGCCUGAGUCUAAGGAUGUCACUUCCAGUUCCACCUUCACUGACAUUACUUCCAGUUCCAGUUCCACCAGUUCUCCUAUAAUGGCAAUGUUCAAUGCUAUUACUCUGUUCUGUUUUGGACUCCAGUCUUCACUCAGCCUACUUGUUAACAAGUUUACGGGCUGGCUACCCCAAACUUCAUUCUGUUUCUUCUGCUCUUUAUUUCUGCAGUUGGCAUAUUCAACAGGAUUUGCUCCGAAGAUGAGCCAGGAGCAGGACCUCGACACAAUUCUGGUUAAUAUGGCCUCAAAGCACCUGAACCUGAAACUCCAGGUGUGGGAGAAUAAUGAAUGCAGAAUCCGAGGCGUGAGUACAAGCACGUGUCACUGUCCACCAAGGUGUGGGCUCUGUCCCUCCAGAUUAACGACAAUAUUGAAUCUUAUUUUUUAAUAUUUGAACGUACAGCCAACAGGAAUCACUGGGAGUGUGCGGAAUGGGCUGACAUAAUAGUGCCAUUCCUAAAGGGAGAAGUACAGAAGACUUCCUAUGACCUCGCGGAGGAGACAGUCGCCAAUUAUGGUGCUCUGAAGACUGAGGUCCUCAAAGGGUAUGGCGUUUCCCCGGACCAGUAGGCAAGAUUUGUCAUGAAUGGCGAUUUGACCCAGAGAAGCCAACACACUCACAGGACUUUGAUUUGUGAAGCAAGGCAGGACACUUGCUGCAGUCUAUAGUAAAUGACUUGCGACAAGUUCCUGAGCAAAUCUCUUUUGAUCUUCUAAUAAAUGCCCUUCCUGAUUACCUUGCCCAGCCGGUCCAGAGGCAGUCUGUUAAAAAUACAGAGGCUUCCAUCGUUACCACAGAACAUCACUGGGCAACUAUCUUGGAGGGCAGAAUGGUCUAAAAGCCAAACCAGGAUAGGAUAUGUUCUGAAUGAAGAGCCUGCCUGCCGCAGAAUGGAGACCAUGUCGAAGCCAAAGUACAAGCCCACAAACCCCCGUGCUAUUUCAAAUGCGGGGACGUUUGGUACACCAUACCCCCCCACUGCCCUCAACUCAGUGGGCCUAUGGAAUGUAGCUGGGUGAAGGGAAAAGGGUAUUGUUCCCUUGCUAACCCUCUGUCUCUUCCCUGCACAUGAGUGGUACUAGUUAAUGUGCAUAAGGUGACAGCUUUAUAGAUUCUCCCAGUAGCAUUUCCAUUUUUGCUUGUUAUUUUGUGUUACAGCAACAGUAGUUGGAUUGUAAGACCAGUCUGAACUGUAUCUACCAUGAAAUCCAAUUGUACAGUUUUCAUCAAAUACAAGGGCUCACUAAAAACACUCACAGUAGCAGUCCUCCAGAAUCCUCCAUAUCCGGUGAUACUGUGGCAAGACUUGUCUGACAUUAAAAGUGGUUUUACACAAACCACUCCUAAGAAGGUUUUGGGCCUUGUAACAGAUGGGAAUAUUUCAUCACAAGCUGCCUCCAUGCUGUGUUCACAGCUGGCCUUGAGGAGUCAUGUCGUAAGACAAAUCUCAGGAUGAAACCAUGUUGAUUGAGGUCGACUCUGAUCCUCUCACUACAUUACAAUUUCAAUUCAGGUAAACUCUGGCCUCCUUAAAAGAGGAGCAAUGGAAUGAUGAUUUCAUUAAGCUUGUGAAAAAUGCAGUCAUUCUGGUUAAUUUCCAACACAUUCAGCAUCCUAUUCCACAGAGCCCACACUUUGCCCUGAAUAACAGUCUUCUCUAUUGAGGAGCCAAGUGUGAGGGGGAGAUUCGAUCAUUGUUGUUAGUGCCACAGUCUUACUGGUGGAAAGUCUGUGAACUAGCACUCUCCCAUCUUCUAUGAGCCCAUUUGGGAACUGAAAAGACUCUAGAGCACCUUAAGCUCUGAUUCGGGGAUUAAUGAGGAGGUUUGAUGCUUUUGCACUUCCUGUCCGGACUGUCAAUUGAGCAAAAUUCCUAAAACGGACCAAGCUAUGCUAGUCCCAUUUCCCCUUAUUCAUAUUCCCUUUGAGUGAAUCAGAGUUCACCUAGUAGGACCCCAAGAGUCCUCGGCUAGAGGACAUAAAUAUAUUUUCGUCCUUGUUGAUUAUGCUACCCGAUAUCCUGAAGCUGUCCCUCUGCAUACAGCUGCAGAGAGUCGUCAUCCCUAAAGAAGUCCUAACAGACAAAGAGAUACCUUUUACCAUGAAGACAUUCAGGGAAAUGGCCAAGUUACUCCAGGUGAAGCAUUUAAAAAACCUGGUAUACCAUCCUCAAAGCAAAGGUGUUAUAGAGAAGUUUAACCAGACCCUAAAACAAAUUCUAUGCAAAGUGGUCAGUGAGGACGGAAGGAACUGGGACCAGUUGCUUCCCCUUGUAUUAUUUGCCUAUUGGGAAGUCCUCUAAGCCUCCAUGAUUUUCUCACCUUUUGAAAUAUUAUAUGGGCAACAACCCUGCGGCAUAUUGGACAUUCUAAAAAAAGCUUUGGAGACCAGCUUGAGGAGAUAGGCGAAGGACCUUACAACACAUUAUCUACUACAACUGACAGCGAAAGUGGGAGCGAAGAAGGAAAUGAGGUGAGCAGUGAAAAUUCAAUGCUCUUAAGUGGCACAUCUGAUCCGGGAAGUGCCUCAUCAACAACACAGCCUGUCCUGUAUGAAAGAAAAUCAGAAAGUAAGAAAGAAAUGAGAGUAAUGGGGAAUGGUGAUGACAAACACAAGGCAAACUUCACAUAUUGUCGCUCUCUUGUGGUUGAAAUACAAAGAUGCAGUUCAUAAAUACUGUAAAAAGAUGUACCUAUGGUAAAAACGAUCUCUCAAAUACUCAGCAUAUCAUUGUGUGCUACAACUGCUAUACAUUAAUGUCCACUUUGAAAGGCACUAUAUGAAAAAGAACAAAAGUAAAAAAGAAUGAUAAAAAGGUGCUUUAGUGCUGUAUAACAGCAUCCAGUAUAAAAGAUACUACAAGAUGUAAAUAAAUAUUAACAGUCAUUAAGAGGUAUAAAAUAAUGUCCAAUAUGAAAAUGAGAUGAUCAAUAACAAAAGGUAAAGUUGACGUCUUGUCGCCCUCUUCUGGUAGCCGUAGAAAGUUCCAGUACAUAAAAAUUAUUUUUAGAAGAUGCGCUUUUGGUCAAAAAAAAAAAAAUUUCUUUCUAACUAAGAAUAACUGCAUGUGAUACAAGUGCCAUACAUUAGUGUCCACACUAACAGGUAAUAUACUAAAAAAAAAAGAAACUAACGAAUAACAGUCAUCAAGCGCUAUAUAAUAGUACCCAGUGUGAUAGCAGCUAUAGGAACAAAUGAAAUAUUGAAGUUUCUUUAGAGAACCAUAAAAGUGUCCAAUAUGAAAGACGCUAUAUGAAAGAAAGAAAAAAACAAAGAACGACUAGACCUUCAUUAAGUAGUAUACAAUAUUGUCAUUUAUGAAAGGUGUUAUAUGAAGUAAAAAAGACAGAAACUAAAAGAAACGAGAGUAAUGGCAAAUGAUGAUAAAUAACAAAAUUCAAAAUUGCCAUCUUGUUGCCCUCUUGUGGUAGAUAUGCAACAUCGCAGUACAUAAGUACUAUUUUUCGUUGUGUUUGUUUUUUGAAGAUACGCCUGUGGUCAAGCCUACUGUACGUCUCGCUCAUUGACUUGGCAUACCUGUAAGAGAUGUCCAGUAUUUUAUGUACAGGGAAUGGUUGUAGAAAUGCAAUGUAUAAAACUGUAAUCUUUAUUUCUGCUUUAAUUGUUAUUAACACAGUUCAAGUAGGGACUUCAGCAGUGUAUUUAAAAAAA